UACAGAGGUCCCAAGCGUUGUUCGGAUUCAUUGGGCGUAAAGGGUGUGUAGGUGGCGCGCUAAGUCGGGUGUGAAAUUUCGGAGCUUAACUCCGAAACUGCAUUCGAUACUGGCGUGCUUGAGGACUGGAGAGGAGACUGGAAUUUACGGUGUAGCAGUGAAAUGCGUAGAUAUCGUGAGGAAGACCAGUGGCGAAGGCGGAUCUCUGGACAGCUCCUGACGCUGAGGCGCGAAGGCUAGGGGAGCAAACGGG
rnacentral:rRNA from 1 species